GAACAGGGCGCUCGAGAUCCCUGAAAAUGCGGCCGUUACGCUCGAGCCAGAUUCACCAGGUGGUUAGGAGAGCGAUUGAUCUCGCUCGCUUGCGGCCAACAGGCACCGUGCUAAGUCCAUCCAGCCAAUCCACCAUGCAGUUUGAAGACCUCCAGGAGCUUGGAAGGAAGGUGGGGACGCGAAAGCGGCUGGCCGCCGACGUCCAGAGGUUCCUUGACCAAGUGCACUCUCUGAACAAGUGCUGAGCGGUCUCCAGGUUGCGCCAGCAUAACGGACAGAAAUAGGAAUUAGGCCAUGCCCUGGCCAUGAGCCGGUCCACCGUGAGCAGUACUAUUGGAAUCUAGAGAGAGAUAGAGAGGGAGCGAGAGGGAGAGCGCUUGGGCGGCGGUGAAGAGGAGGCAAGUUCGUAGUGUUCAGGAACUUUCUGGUGAUGAUGAAGGCGUUGACAAAGCUCUAUUCAAGUUCUAUAUGAAUCAUUGAAAUCAUUGAAGAGGAAAUUAUCAUGUGCUGGAAGAGGGAAUGCGGCCAGUUCCCCUUGUUAUACUAAUCUCUCGCGUGGCUUUAGUCUGUUCUUCUCUUUAAAGUUGCACUGCAGUUUUCCAGUGUUGUAGUUCUCUAUUUAGCUCAUAAUUAAUAUAUUUUUCUUUUGUAUCUUAUUGUUUGUUUGCUCGUCUCAUGGAAUUUCAGUGGGUUUCCUCUGCAAUUUAAUUGUAAUUAUCAGAGUAUUUCCUCCCAUGUGUAAUUCCAGAAUACCUUCAUUGUGUACCUUCACUGUACUUUACUUUCAGAGUAAUUCCUUAGAUUGUAUAGUGUAAUUCCAGAGCUUUAGUCACCGUAAAUCCUUGGUGUUCGCACUGUAAUUUCCUGUGAUUAUUCACUGUUGUCAUUCCUUGGUG